CCUACGGGAGGCAGCACUAGGGAAUCUUUCCCAAUGGACGAAAGUCUGAUGGAGCAACGCCGCGUGAGUGAAGAAGGUUUUCGGAUCGUAAAACUCUGUUGUGGAGAAGAAUGUAUCUGAUAGUAACUGAUCAGGUAGUGACGGU
rnacentral:rRNA from 1 species